CCUACGGGAGGCAGCAGUGGGGAAUUUUGGACAAUGGGGGAAACCCUGAUCCAGCCAUCCCGCGUGUGCGAUGAAGGCCUUCGGGUUGUAAAGCACUUUUGUCAGGGAAGAAAAGGUUCUGGCUAAUACUCGGAACUGAUGACGGUACCUGAAGAAUAAGCACCGGCUAACUACGUGCCAGCAGCCGCGGUAAU
rnacentral:rRNA from 1 species